rnacentral:rRNA from 1 species
GACGAACGCUGGCGGCGUGCCUAAUACAUGCAAGUCGAACGCAGUGGGGACGGGUGAGUAACACGUGGGUAACCUCCCAUCAGAGGGGAUAACACUUGGAAACAGGUGCUAAAACCGAUACUGAUGGAUGAACCCGCGGGGCAUUAGCUAGUUGGUGAGGUAACGGCGCACCAAGGCAACGAUGCCUAGCCGACCUGGGAGGGUGAUCGGCCACACUGGAACUGAGACACGGCCCAGACUCCUACGGGAGGCAGCAGUGGGGAAUCUUCGGCAAUGGACGAAAGUCUGACCGAGCAACGCCGCGUGAAUGAAGAAGGUUUUCGGAUCGUAAAGCUCUGUUGUUAGAGAAGCGGUAUCUACCCAGGAAGCCACGGCUAACUACGUGCCAGCCGCCGCGGUAAUAC